rnacentral:rRNA from 1 species
CCUACGGGUGGCAGCAGUGGGGAAUAUUGGACAAUGGGCGAAAGCCUGAUCCAGCCAUGCCGCGUGUGUGAAGAAGGCCUUCGGGUUGUAAAGCACUUUCAGUGGGGAAGAAAGCCUUGGGGCUAAUACCCUCGAGGAAGGACAUCACCCACAGAAGAAGCACCGGCUAACUCCGUGCCAGCAGCCGCGGUAAUACGGAGGGUGCGAGCGUUAAUCGGAAUUACUGGGCGUAAAGCGCGCGUAGGCGGUCUGAUAAGCCGGUUGUGAAAGCCCCGGGCUCAACCUGGGAACGGCAUCCGGAACUGUCAGGCUAGAGUGCAGGAGAGGAAGGUAGAAUUCCCGGUGUAGCGGUGAAAUGCGUAGAGAUCGGGAGGAAUACCAGUGGCGAAGGCGGCCUUCUGGACUGACACUGACGCUGAGGUGCGAAAGUGUGGGUAGCAAACAGGAUUAGAUACCCUUGUAGUC